rnacentral:rRNA from 1 species
UACGGAGGGAGCUAGCGUUGUUCGGAAUUACUGGGCGUAAAGCGCACGUAGGCGGCGAUUUAAGUCAGAGGUGAAAGCCCGGGGCUCAACCCCGGAACUGCCUUUGAGACUGGAUUGCUAGAAUCUUGGAGAGGCGAGUGGAGUUCCGAGUGUAGAGGUGAAAUGCGUUGAGAUGUGGAGGAACACCAGUGGCGAAGGCGGCCAACUGGACAGUAACUGACGCUGAGGCGCGAAAGUGUGGGUAGCAAACAGGAUUAGAUACCCGAGUAGU